ACACACACACACACACACACACACACACACACACACACACACACACACACACACACGUCAGAACCAGAUCUGUGUCAUUGAAGACAUUAAAGGUCAGUAGCUCACAACAAGACAAUGCCAUUCAGUGGUGAACUAUCUUUCUCACAUCCUCCAAGUAAACCACAUCACAGAGUGACAGGUAACGGACACAAUAAAGGAAACACCAACAUCAAGUGGGGCGUUGGGCCUCCACCAAUCAGAACAGGUUCAAUGGGGGGCGUUGGGCCUCCACCAAUCAGAACAGGUUCAAUGGGGGGCGUUGGGCCUCCACCAAUCAGAACAGGUUCAAUGGGGGGCGUUGGGCCACCACCAAUCAGAACAGGUUCAAUGGGGGGCGUUGGGCCACCACCAAUCAGAACAGGUUCAAUAGGGGGCGUUGGGCCUCCACCAAUCAGAACAUGUUCAAUAGGGGGCGUUGGGCCUCCACCAAUCAGAACAGGUUCAAUAGGGGGCGUUGGGGGGCGUUGGGCCACCACCAAUCAGAACAGGUUCAAUAGGGGGCGUUGGGCCACCACCAAUCAGAACAGGUUCAAUAGGGGGCGUUGGGCCUCCACCAAUCAGAACAGGUUCAAUGGGGGGCGUUGGGCCUCCACCAAUCAGAACAGGUUCAAUGGGGGGCGUUGGGCCUCCACCAAUCAGAACAGGUUCAAUGGGGGGCGUUGGGCCUCCACCAAUCAGAACAGGUUCAAUGGGGGGCGUUGGGCCACCACCAAUCAGAACAGGUUCAAUGGGGGGCGUUGGGGGGCGUUAGGCCACCACCAAUCAGAACAGGUUCAAUAGGGGGCGUUGGGCCACCACCAAUCAGAACAGGUUCAAUGGGGGGCGUUGGGCCACCACCAAUCAGAACAGGUUCAAUGGGGGGCGUUGGGGGGCGUUAGGCCACCACCAAUCAGAACAGGUUCAAUGCACCUUGGCAUAGAUUCUACAAGUGUCUGGAACUCGAUUGGAGGGAUGGGACACCAUUCUAUAGAUUCUACAAGUGUCUGGAACUCGAUUGGAGGAAUGCGACACCAUUCUAUAGAUUCUACAAGUGUCUGGAACUCGAUUGGAGGAAUGCGACACCAUUCUAUAGAUUCUACAAGUGUCUGGAACUCGAUUGGAGGAAUGCGACACCAUUCUAUAGAUUCUACAAGUGUCUGGAA